ensembl:snRNA U6 U6 spliceosomal RNA
GUGCUCUCUUCGGCAGCACACAUACUAAAAUUGGAACGAUACAGAGAAGAUUAGCAAGGCCCCUGUGCAAGGAUGAGAUGCAAAUUUGUGAAAUGUUCCAUAUUUAA